UACGAAGGGGGCUAGCGUUGCUCGGAAUCACUGGGCGUAAAGGGCUCGUAGGCGGCCUACUAAGUCAUACGUGAAAUCCCUCGGCUUAACCGGGGAACUGCGUCUGAUACUGGAUGGCUUGAGUUCGGGAGAGGGAUGCGGAAUUCCAGGUGUAGCGGUGAAAUGCGUAGAUAUCUGGAGGAACACCGGUGGCGAAGGCGGCAUCCUGGACCGAUACUGACGCUGAGGAGCGAAAGCCAGGGGAGCAAACGGG
rnacentral:rRNA from 1 species